AAGCAUAUAAGUAAGCGGAGGACAAGAAACUAAAUAGGAUUCCCUCAGUAAUGGCGAAUGAACAGGGAUGAGCUCAGCAUGGAAAUUGGGGUCUCCCGACCUUGAAUUGUAGUCUUGAGAUGUACUGCCAACGGAGGCGCAGAUGUAAGCCUCUUGGAAAAGAGCAUCAACGAGGGUGAGAGUCCCGUUUGUCAUCUGCAGUCCCCCGUGCACGGUGUACAUUCUAAGAGUCACGUUCCUCGGGAUUGGAGCGCAAAGUGGGUGGUAAAUUUCAUCUAAAGCUAAAUAUUGGUUCGAGACCGAUAGCAAACAAGUACCAUGAGGGAAAGGUGAAAAGGACUUUGAAAAGAGAGUUAAAAGUGCCUGAAAUUGCUGAAAGGGAAGCGAAUGGAACCAGUGUUCUUGAUGAGAUUGUUGCGCACUCUGGUGAUUGCUAGCUGUUCUACCGCAAGGGGGGCAGUUGGUUUUGAGCUAGUCGUGCGUAGUGUUUCUUGUCUUGUGUGUCACCGUCGGUUCACAGGUGAGGAAAACUCCAAGGACAUGGUAGCUAACCUGCGGGGGAGCGAAUGUGCAUGGCAGUACUCAUUUGUGUAUCGAUCACUGCGUGUCUGGUUGCAGUGUUCUGUUCGCUCGAAAACUUCUGCGGGGCAUUGUCCUUGUAGGAAUCCUUUCAAGCGCGCGGGACAUCUCCCUGACACAAAGACGAUGACUAAAUGGUUCUAUUCGACCCGUCUU
rnacentral:rRNA from 1 species